CUUUUAUUGCGAAAAGGGCUUGGAGAAUUGAGCAAGUCCCUAUACUAGGCUGUUUUAUUAAAAUUUCUCUUUUAUAUACUUGCCUAUACCCUGAUAAUACAAUAAUUUCUAUUCUAACUAGAUUUCUAUUUAGAGAGUCAUUAAAGUGUGCAUAGAGGUAUAGAAUUCGCCGGAUAAGCUCGUUCUCUAAGGUGGAAACACUGUAUUAAAACAGCAUACACCAAAACUCAAUGAACUAAAAGAUUUUAUUAAUUGAAGGAAAAGAAACCAACCGGGAUUGCGCUAGUAGUACAGAGCGAAAGCGCAUAAGCUUAAUUUAAUAUUUUUUGUUUACAGUUGAACUUAAGUGGAAUCCGGACCAGAGAAAGUUAUAGUCUUGUAGAUUGUAAACAACAAAUGCUGAAAUUUAAAAAUUUAUUAUUUAUCUUAGUAUAUUAUUAUAAUAAUAUAAUUAUUAUAAUAAAUGUAAUGUAGUAUAUGAUAUACUAAUUAAUGGGGUACAAUAAUGUUUGUUUAAUUAGUGGUUAAACGCUGCUAGUGAUUGACGGAAACCACUCCGUUGGCUAAAUAUUUUAUGUAGAUCGAUAGUGAAUCAGUACUGUAAAGGAAUUUGGAAACAAGAAUGCCGUUGCUUCUCUGAAUACAAGUCCCAAAACAGGUUGCUUAUAAUGACUUUCAGUUUGGCUGUUAUAAUGUUAAAUAGAAAGGUUCCUUUUGAAUCAUGAGCUGAUGACUUUGUGUUAGUUAAAGACGUAUAUUAAUUGUUAUAUCCGGGUAUAUCCGGGAUUAAUAUAAGUAGCUUAAUUUAUUAAAAGUAAGCUUAUUAUGAAGAUACCCAUAGAAAACUAACACAAAACGCGAAACGAAGUGAUCUUAAGUAGGCCAGGGGGAAGGUUACCGGAAGGUAGUUGGACGCCCGAAGUGGUAUGCGUUGCAACGCGUUCAUAUGAGCUUAUUUAAGUGGCGAAAUACCAAUCGAACUUCGAAAUAUCUCGUUUUUUGCGAAACCUUUUUAGGAAGGGGGCCUGUCAAAUAUGUGCUAACUAGGUAGAGCGCUGUAAAACUGAUGGGAAGGAAACUUUUACUGAGGUGUUGCAAACCAUAAAUUAGGGGCAUUUAAUCAGGUACUCAGUCAGUGCGGGACAAGCUGCAUGUGACAAGAAGGAAACAGCCUAGACUAUUAAUUAAGGCCCGAAAAUAGCGCUAAGUGAGAAAGUAAUUAACUUCACAAAAAUUAGUAGGACGUUUGAUUAGUAGCAUCUACCGUUUAAAGAAAGCGUAAUAGCUCACUACUAUAGUUUAGUUGUUACGAAAAUUUAGCCGGACUAAGCGCUAUGCCGAAAUUAUAGCUAACUGAAUCGUUAAAUAAUAUAAUCAGUUAGAGUAGCAAAACGAACCAUGUUGAAAAAGUUAUGUCGGUAAGACUUAAUGAAAAUAUUGGUUGUGAAUAUAUCAGCUAGAGUAACAUAUAAAUUGAGACUUUAUAUAAAUAAAGUGUUUAAUAUUGUUUUUUAUAUUUAUAUAAAACUUUAUUUAUUAAAAGAAUAGUAUCUCAAUGAUCGGAAAUCCUAGGUUUUCUACACAACUAUUAAAGAUGUAGUUAAAAAAACGGUCCCUAAGUAAUAUGAAGGUUACAAUGGGUACCUGCUAUGCCCAAUAAAAUCUUAUUUGUAGAUCUGUUGCAGGAAAAAAUAGCAGGGAAUUUAAAGUACUACUAGUAGUUAAGUAUUCAAAGGGGUACUUUAAAAAAUUAAUACCGUACUAAAACUGACUCUGGUGGAUUAGUAGAUUUUACUAAGAUUUGGUUAUAAUCGUUCGUAAGGAACUCGGCAAAUUACGCUGGUACUUUCGAAAACAGCGGUCUAAAAUAACCUUUUAGAUCUCAGAUAAGAGAACUGGGUGACAGUUUACUAAAAACUUAGCGUCCUGCCAAUUUGAAACAAGACGUAUAGGAUGUGACGUUUGCUAACGGCCACUAAUUUAAGUAAUUUGUUGUAACAGAUAAAUAAACAAGAUGUGGUGACGAGCGGCCGUAACUAUAACGGUCAUAAAGUAGCGAAAUUCCUAGGCAUUUAAUUGGUGUCCUGCAUGAAUAACGUAACAACCUGGUUGCUGUCUCGCGAGCGAAAACCGUGAAAUAAGAAUAUCGGUCAAAAUACCGAUUAGGCUGUCUUAGACGAUAAGACCCUAUAAAGCUUUACUGUAACCUAACAUUGCGACCGGUUUUUUAUCUUACAGUUAGGCGGGAGGUCCUUUAAGGCCGACAAUGGGAAACCGCUAGGUAAUAAAUUGGUUGCUUUUAUAUAAGAAUGCUUUUUUAAUCUAUAAGAUAUUUAUAUAAGGUGUUUAUAUAAGAAUGCUUUUUAACCUAGACAUUAAAUUUAUAUAAGGCAUAUGAGAAAUCAUAUGGGUUAUAUAAAUAAACCUUUAUAUAAAAUACUUUAAUUAACAAAGCUCGAAGACAGUGUUAGGUGGGCAGUUUACUUGGGGCGAGGUCUGGCUAAAAAGUAACGCCAGAGAGCAAAAGGUAUGCUCAGUAUUGUCGGAAACAAUAUGUAGAGCGUAAUAGUAUAAGCAUGCCUGAUUAUAAGACUGACAAGUCGAAUAAGGACGAAAGUCUGCUAUAGUGACCCUCACAUGCUGGGUGGAAAGGUGUGAGAUCAACGAAUCAAAGUUACUUUAGGGAUAACAGGGUAGUCCUGGCUUAUAGUUCUUAUAGACGCCAGGGUUCGCCACCUCGAUGUUGCCUCAGGUCAUCCUGGAGCUGAACAAGGUUCCAAGGGCGCAACUGUUCUUUGCAUAAUGACCUACGUGAGGUGAGUUUAAACCGCCGUAAGGCAGGUUUGGUUCUAUCUAGACAGCCAUAAUAUUUAACCAAGCACUAGAAUUCCACUGUACGAAAGGACCCGGAAUUCCACGCCAAUGGUUUAGCAAUUGUUUUGGAAAAAGCAUUGUUGCAACGCUAAGCGUGAAAUGUUAAUUGCUGAAAAACUAUCAAGCAAGAAACAAUUGUAAAGGUUAUAGUAGAUCGCAUUGGCGUAAAUAGGCGCGGGGUGUACGCUUUGUAAGAAGCUAAGCUACCGCGUACUAAUUUUUUUUUUUUCAUAAAAUCA
rnacentral:rRNA from 1 species